rnacentral:rRNA from 1 species
UACGGAGGGUGCAAGCGUUAUCCGGAAUCAUUGGGCUUAAAGGGUCCGCAGGCGGAUUUAUAAGUCAGUGGUGAAAGCCUGAUGCUUAACAUCAGAACUGCCAUUGAUACUGUAAGUCUUGAAUUCGAUCGAAGUGGGCGGAAUAUGACAUGUAGCGGUGAAAUGCUUAGAUAUGUCAUAGAACACCGAUAGCGAAGGCAGCUCACUAGGUCUGGAUUGACGCUCAGGGACGAAAGCGUGGGGAGCAAACAGG